GAAGGGUCAACAUACUAGAUCUAAUCACCAUGAUUACAUAAAGCAUGCUAUGUGGUCUAAACUAUAGCAUUAGACUAAAGAACCAACAUAUUCAUGAAAGAUAGAAAGUAUAAAAGGAGGCAUUGAGUCGCUAAUAUAUCGGAUGACAUUAAGAACAUUGCUCACAUAAUAGAUGUAUUAGAUCAUCAUCUCCGAGUACAUACCAUUGACGAUCUACUACUGGCUCUCCUGAACUCCACCAUGGCGCAACCACGCAGGGGGCCCACGACGGCUAAGGUUUGGUCUAAGCCAUCUUCUAGACAACUCCGAAGACUUGCAGUGGCUGUCAUCUCCCUUUGGCAAAUGCCCUAGGUUUCGUUAAGUUCUCGUGGAUGGAUGCGCAUGCCGAUGGAGAAUCAUGAUAUUUAUAGUCUAGAGGUGCUUUGGGGCAAAGCGGAGGUCGAAUCGACCUAGAAAAGGACCACGCCGAUCGGCUUGCCCCCUACAGGCACAUAUACAGAACACAACACAUAUUCAAAAAUGGGAUUAUUUCAGGUACCAAGUGGUGGGUUAGUAUAAGAAUAGGUCCAAUUAGGCAUGAAAAUGGUCGGAAACGGUCAAUAACGAUAUCAUCUAUAUGAAAAUGAUUGUCAAUCGAUUGGGAAUUUUGCCGAUUUCACUAUUAAACUAUUUAGUGGCGACUACAAUAUGAUAAUAACAGAAAAUGAAAAAUCCAAAUUUAAAUACGGUAAUGAUCGGAAAUGAUAUCACUUAUACAAAAAAGAUUCGAAAAUGUGCCUCGGUAAACGAGAUUUUCGGUUACAGUUUUCAUCCCUAGGUCCAAUAAUACCACUUAAAUGGCACUCAAAGCAUGUCAAUAAUGAGCCCCACUAUUCCCCCAUGCAUAAACCUUGCUCGUCCUUGAGUAAGUCCAAGAUACUUGCUUAAUCAAGAAGUCAGCAUUACCCUUCGAUGUCAUCCCUGCACUCAGUUA
rnacentral:lncRNA from 1 species